GAGACGGAGCCCUUUAAAACCAAAGAUGAGACUAUUUCUAACCUCGGACAUCCCUGUGCUUUGGGUCUGCAUUGAUUUACAGUGUAGAGAUACAGAUACCAUAUCAAGUAAUUGGUUUGCAGUGAGUAGUGUUACAGUUUAGUGGUAAUGUGUGUGAGUUACUCUUUGUUUGUGGUCUCAGACUUUACUGCAGCUGCUUGUUCAUAAAUCAAACCGAGUAACACGAUCGGCUUUUACUCAUUGAUGUUCAUAUCCUGACCAGGUUCCAGCUUCAGCAUCUCACCCCUGAGAGAAGCCCGUGAUGAUGGAUGACCUGUGUGGAUUGUGUGCGGUGACACCACCCAAAAAAGCGCUAAUGGCUUCACCUCUCCAACAAGCUGUAAAGACUUAAACGCCUCACAACAGUAUAUUGAUGACAUAAGUCUCUUUGUGUGCUAGCCACGGUGAGGUAACCAGAUCAUUUCACGGCACCUUCGGGAUACAGCUGCUUCUGCCAUCCCUGAAAUUACGAUUCUCUCUUUUUCUCUCUUCUCUCUGUUUGAGAAACGCCUGCUGCUGUGGGACAUCCUAACUGCUGGGACAAGAUAACUACUUCCUGGAACACAUUCCAAACCCAACCAGCUCGGAUAACAGUUGAGAAGAUGCGGCCACGGAGGGCUGGCGUGGCCCGGCGCGUGUGUGUACUCAAGAGUUCUGCUCGGUGGAUGUCUGAGGGCCCCAAAGGACAAAAACAGUGGUGUAUAACUGAUGUCCGGCAGGGAGACCUCUGAGAGAAGAUCAACAACAAUGACCCCGUGUUAAAUCCUCUAAACAUUCCAAUGCGCUGACUGCGGUCCAGAGAUGCAGCCAGGGUUGUGAUGAACGCAGUUUUGUGCACACGGACGCUUUCUUUCCAACUAUUAGAAACUGUUCACCUGCCUUCAAUCUUAAGCAAUAAUUUAUUUCUAAUUCUCUCUCUUUCUUCCUUUGCUGCCAAUUGAAGCAACAUUAUCUUAUGAAUUAUUCUUGUGCAUUGUGCCAGAUACCCUACAUCACUGUUUCCCCAUAAACUUAUUUUCUUUGGUGCCAAGUGAUGCCUUGUACAAGCAAGCCGGCUGUCUUGAAUACGCAGACUCUGUUCCAAAUUUCUAAUAAGCUGCCCACCUAGACAAUAUUUUAUAAACGGUUGAUAGCUAAAUGUUUCUGUAAAAAUGUUAUGUUUCUGUUUUAACCUGUUUUGGCUACAUUUAAAUGCAUUCCAUAUAUCACUCAAGGAUAAGUUUUAUCCAUUAUGCAUUGCAAAUAUUUUUACUGAAGAUGUUAAAAUGCAUAUUUUAUAUACUGAGGGCCCCAAGAUGGUUCCAGGGGGCCACAGAUUUUGUUGCGUUUUAUGAAAUUAAGAAAUGUAUCGUAAAUUUUGUGCAUUCGAACAUCAGCAAAAUUAGACCACCAACCAAAAUAAUUAAUGUUUUAGCAUUGUAUAACUUAAUAUGUUUUUGGUUUCAUUAAAACUUUAAGUUUAAGAUUAUACGUAGUCUGUUUCACCCAAAUUGUGUUGCUACUUAUGUAAAUUAAAUCAAAUAUAAGCUUUAAUUUCCUUUAGUAAAGCUGUCUGUUUCAAAGUAUAUGUAAAAAGGCUAAAACCUUGUUAGCUUAAAAAUGCUGAUGAUGGGAGUCUGAUUUGUGUGAAGGAAAAUAAAAUUAUAUU